rnacentral:rRNA from 1 species
ACGUUACCAAACUGUUGCCUCGGCGGGAUCUCUGCCCCGGGUGCGUCGCAGCCCCGGACCAAGGCGCCCGCCGGAGGACCAACCAAAACUCUUAUUGUAUACCCCCUCGCGGGUUUUUUUAUAAUCUGAGCCUUCUCGGCGCCUCUCGUAGGCGUUUCGAAAAUGAAUCAAAACUUUCAACAACGGAUCUCUUGGUUCUGGCAUCGAUGAAGAACGCAGCGAAAUGCGAUAAGUAAUGUGAAUUGCAGAAUUCAGUGAAUCAUCGAAUCUUUGAACGCACAUUGCGCCCGCCAGUAUUCUGGCGGGCAUGCCUGUCCGAGCGUCAUUUCAACCCUCGAACCCCUCCGGGGGGUCGGCGUUGGGGAUCGGCCCUGCCUCUUGGCGGCGGCCGUCUCCGAAAUACAGUGGCGGUCUCGCCGCAGCCUCUCCUGCGCAGUAGUUUGCACACUCGCAUCGGGAGCGCGGCGCGUCCACAGCCGUUAAACACCCAACUUCUGAAAUGUUGACCUCGGAUCAGGUAGGAAUACCCGCUGAACUUAAGCAUAU